rnacentral:rRNA from 1 species
UACGUAGGGAGCAAGCGUUGUCCGGAAUCAUUGGGCGUAAAGCGCGUGUAGGCGGUCCGGUAAGUCCGCUGUGAAAGUCGGGGGCUCAACCCUCGGAUGCCGGUGGAUACUGUCGGGCUUGAGUACGGAAGAGGCGAGUGGAAUUCCUGGUGUAGUGGUGAAAUGCGUAGAGAUCCGGAGGAACCCCAGAGGCGAAGGCGGCGUCCUGGCUCGCAUCUGACGCUCAGACACGACAGCAUGGGGAGCGAACGGG